rnacentral:rRNA from 1 species
GAUGAACGCUAGCGGCAGGCCUAACACAUGCAAGUCGAGGGGUAGCAGGAUUAAGCUUGCUUAAUUGCUGACGACCGGCGCACGGGUGCGUAACGCGUAUGCAACCUACCUUAUACUGGGGUAUAGCCCGGAGAAAUUCGGAUUAAUCCCCCAUAGUACUAAUGAAUCGCAUGGUUUAUUAGUUAAAGCAUUGCGGUAUAAGAUGGGCAUGCGUCCUAUUAGCUAGAUGGUGAGGUAACGGCUCACCAUGGCUACGAUAGGUAGGGGGCCUGAGAGGGUGGUCCCCCACACUGGUACUGGGACACGGACCAGACUCCUACGGGAGGCAGCAGUGAGGAAUAUUGGUCAAUGGGCGCAAGCCUGAACCAGCCAUGCCGCGUGCAGGAAGAAUGCCCUAUGGGUUGUAAACUACUUUUAUUUGGGAAUAAACCUCUUUACGUGUAGAGAGCUGAAGGUACCAAAUGAAUAAGCACCGGCUAACUCCGUGCCAGCCGCCGCAGUAA